rnacentral:rRNA from 1 species
CCUACGAGAGGCUGCAGUGGGGAAUAUUGCACAAUGGGGGAAACCCUGAUGCAGCGACGCCGCGUGAGUGAAGAAGUAUUUCGGUACGUAAAGCUCUAUCAGCAGGGAAGAAAAUGACGGUACCUGACUAAGAAGCCCCGGCUAACUACGUGCCAGCAGCCGCGGUAAUACGUAGGGGGCAAGCGUUAUCCGGAUUUACUGGGUGUAAAGGGAGCGGAGGCGGAGGUGCAAGUCAGCGGUCAAAUUGCGGGGCUCAACCCCGUACUGCCGUUGAAACUGCAUCCCUUGAGUGCGCGAGAAGUAUGCGGAAUGCGUGGUGUAGCGGUGAAAUGCAUAGAUAUCACGCAGAACUCCGAUUGCGAAGGCAGCAUACUGGCGCGCAACUGACGCUCAUGCACGAAAGCGUGGGUAUCGAACAGGAUUAGAUACCCUAGUAGUC